GACGUAGGGCGCAAGCGUUGUCCGGAUUUAUUGGGCGUAAAGCGCACGUAGGCGGCUUUGCAAGUCAGAGGUGAAAGCCCGGGGCUCAACCCCGGAAUUGCCUUUGAGACUGCAUCGCUAGAAUUGUGGAGAGGUAAGUGGAAUUCCGAGUGUAGAGGUGAAAUUCGUAGAUAUUCGGAAGAACACCAGUGGCGAAGGCGACUUACUGGACACAUAUUGACGCUGAGGUGCGAAAGCGUGGGGAGCAAACAGG
rnacentral:rRNA from 1 species